AGUUGCGAACGGGUGAGUAACGCGUAGGUAACCUGCCUGGUAGCGGGGGAUAACUAUUGGAAACGAUAGCUAAUACCGCAUAAUAUUAAUUAUUGCAUGAUAAUUGAUUAAAAGGUGCAAUUGCACCACUACCAGAUGGACCUGCGUUGUAUUAGCUAGUAGGUGAGGUAACGGCUCACCUAGGCGACGAUACAUAGCCGACCUGAGAGGGUGAUCGGCCACACUGGGACUGAGACACGGCCCAGACUCCUACGGGAGGCAGCAGUAGGGAAUCUUCGGCAAUGGACGAAAGUCUGACCGAGCAACGCCGCGUGAGUGAAGAAGGUUUUCGGAUCGUAAAGCUCUGUUGUAAGAGAAGAACGGGUGUGAGAGUGGAAAGUUCACACUGUGACGGUAUCUUACCAGAAAGGGACGGCUAACUACGUGCCAGCAGCCGCGGUAAUACGUAGGUCCCGAGCGUUGUCCGGAUUUAUUGGGCGUAAAGCGAGCGCAGGCGGUUAGAUAAGUCUGAAGUUAAAGGCUGUGGCUUAACCAUAGUACGCUUUGGAAACUGUUUAACUUGAGUGCAGAAGGGGAGAGUGGAAUUCCAUGUGUAGCGGUGAAAUGCGUAGAUAUAUGGAGGAACACCGGUGGCGAAAGCGGCUCUCUGGUCUGUAACUGACGCUGAGGCUCGAAAGCG
rnacentral:rRNA from 1 species